UACGUAGGGGGCGAGCGUUGUCCGGAUUUAUUGGGCGUAAAGAGCUCGUAGGCGGCUUAGUAAGUCGGGUGUGAAACCUCCAGGCUCAACCUGGAGACGCCACCCGAUACUGCUGUGGCUAGAGUCCGGUAGGGGAGCGUGGAAUUCCUGGUGUAGCGGUGAAAUGCGCAGAUAUCAGGAGGAACACCAGCGGCGAAGGCGGCGCUCUGGGCCGGUACUGACGCUGAGGAGCGAAAGCGUGGGGAGCAAACAGG
rnacentral:rRNA from 1 species